rnacentral:misc_RNA from 1 species
ACAAACUUGGUCAUUUAGAGGAAGUAAAAGUCGUAACAAGGUCUCCGUUGGUGAACCAGCGGAGGGAUCAUUACCGAGUUUACAACUCCCAAACCCCCUGUGAACUUCUACCAUUUACUGUUGCUUCGGCGGGUCAUGGCCCCGUGGGAAAGGACAGUGGGCUGGUGCGCCGUCAGGCUCCCCGUCCCGCUGCCCGCCACCCCGCGGAAACAGGCGCCCGCCGGGGAACGCAAAACUCUGUAUUUUUCUUCUUGACUACUGUAUACUGUCUGAGUACAACUAAAACAAAUGAAUCAAAACUUUCAACAACGGAUCUCUUGGUUCUGGCAUCGAUGAAGAACGCAGC